rnacentral:rRNA from 1 species
CCUACGGGUGGCAGCAGUGGGGAAUAUUGGACAAUGGGGGCAACCCUGAUCCAGCCAUGCCGCGUGUGUGAAGAAGGCCCUCGGGUUGUAAAGCACUUUCAGUGAGGAAGAACGCCUGGUGGUUAAUACCCAUCAGGAAAGACAUCACUCACAGAAGAAGCACCGGCUAACUCCGUGCCAGCAGCCGCGGUAAUACGGAGGGUGCGAGCGUUAAUCGGAAUUACUGGGCGUAAAGCGCGCGUAGGUGGCUUGAUAAGCCGGUUGUGAAAGCCCCGGGCUCAACCUGGGAACGGCAUCCGGAACUGUCAAGCUAGAGUGCAGGAGAGGAAGGUAGAAUUCCCGGUGUAGCGGUGAAAUGCGUAGAGAUCGGGAGGAAUACCAGUGGCGAAGGCGGCCUUCUGGACUGACCCUGACACUGAGGUGCGAAAGCGUGGGUAGCAAACAGGAUUAGAUACCCCGGUAGUC